rnacentral:lncRNA from 1 species
UGCGCCCGGUGGUGCGGCCGCGCUCCGAGCUCUUCCUGGAAACUCCCGCCUCGGGGCGCCAGGAGAGCCGGCCGGCCGGCCGGGGGGGAGGGGAGCGCGCGAGGCCCACGCCCCCCUCCCGGGGGAGGGCUCGGCGUCCCCGCCCUUCUCCCGGCUGAGGGGAGGGCGCGGAAGCCGAGGUGGGGGGCGCUUCCCGCCCCACCCCGCCUCCAGAACAACGGGUUCCCGCUGCUGCCCCCUGCCGCUCGCCGCGGCUCCGACGGAGGCGUCGGGGGGCGCCGCUUCCGUGGGAACCGGACCCGGGACGAUCUCAAACGGGCCGGUUUCCUGUCAGAAAACUUGCAGCGACUUUCCAGAAGCCGGUUGGAGCGCCUUGGGCCCGGGCAGCCAGAGUGUGCCACAUGUCACUUAACCUGGCGACCUCUCUUGUACUUUAGAACAACGGGGAAUAGGCCGGGGCGAAGCGUUGCGCGGCUCUCACUCCGGAAACCAAACCUUGUUUAAUUCGCUGCCGGAUGAAGUCCUCAUCCCGGGUGUCACUAACUGGCCCUUUUCUGGGGCUGAACAAUCACACACACCCAUGCCUCCGUAGCUACGGGGAGAAUUGUAUACACCGCCCUCUGGUUCCGUUUUCUAGUCCAUUUUGUCCUAAAAUGCAACCCAAUCAGGUCCAAGAGGUGGCCACUGUUGCUGCCACCAAUUUGCAGAUGGAGCAGUUACCAGGAUCACCCAGCCUGAGAACAACAGAUCUGGGAUUUGAAUACAGGCUGUUUCCAGCUGCUUCCUGUCACCCAACCUGAUCCUCAUUUAACUGUCCAUGGAAAGAACAGUGACUCUUAAUUCCCCACUUUUUCACGGA